GUCCUCAAUCAUCAUCAACAAAUAAUUAAAAUUGUGACAAUUCAUAAACAUGUUAAAAUAUGAAAAUCUUUAUGAAAAAAUGUUUCUUGUUUACAUUAAGUAAAUUUUUCAGAACUGAAUAUGCAACAAAAACAUAUCAUGAAUAUAUACAAAACAAUCACAUGUAAAGUAUACAUCAUAGCAAUGCAUGUCAUGAACAAAAUAAUAUUGUAUCCAUCAUUGUAUCAUAUAUGGAACAGAACCGUUAAUCUCUGAAUGAUAUGAGGUUGCAAAUAAAAAGCACAAUGGGGGAGAUUAACUAACUAUAAAACUAGGUAAAACCAGGUAAAACCUAGUAGUUUCUUCAGUUAAUACCUGUCCCAAGUCAGAAAUAUGAUAAUCGUUUCCCAAUAAUUCAGAAUUUAAUCGAAGAUAAUAAAGUCUAAAGCUUGAAUUUGUCAGUUUUUAAUUGACUUCCAUUUUUUCAAUAUUUCUCGCAGUUGAUUACGUCUUUAUUUUUUUUAUCUUUAUACUAUUUUUUCUAAUACUGUUUGUAUUCAUCAUAAAAAAUUGGCAAUUUACAACAUAGUUAAUGAAGUUCAAUCUUGGCUUUUUCUUCAUAAACUAAAUAUUGUCUUAUUUUUAUUCGCACCUUUGGUAACUUUCCUUUGCAUUAAUGUGCAAUUCCUUUAUAAACUUAACAGCACAGGAUUCUUCUACAGUAAAUUCAAAUAAUGAUCAAUGAAAGGUCAAGGCUAUUGGUGCAAAGUUCAUACAUCAAUAAACUAUAUAAACAAUUUAUUUUUAAUUAUACAAAUAAUUUUUAUAUAAGUGGGACUAACAAUUGUCUACAUUAAAUACCUCAGAACACCUGAAGAUCUAUAUCCCCUGUGUCGGAAUUCUAACUUUUGAAAUGGGUUUAUACAUAUUUAAUAAAAAUAUUCUGGUACCUUGGUGACCACCAAAUAACUAAUAUUUGACAUACUAAUACAACAUUGCAACUGGCAUCAUAUGCAUGGCAAUAUAGUCAUGUACAUGAUGUAGCUUAUAUAAAUGAAGUGCCUGUGAUAUACAUGAUAUAUUAAGAGUUUCUACCUUGUCUGUUAUAUCAAAUUUUUUAGUUCAGAAAAAAAAGAGAAGAUGUGGUAUGAUUGCCAAUUAGACAACUCUUCGCAAGAGACCAAAUGACACAGAAAUUAACAACUUUAUGUCAGCGUGAAUAUACAUAUCUAAAAAAAUAUUGUUCCUGUAAGCUAAGAAAUCAAUAAACAUGAUCAAUGUGAGUUUAUGUUUUUGCUAUAACCCAAUACCGUCACAAUGAUUUCAGAAUUUAUAGUACUUCAAUAUGCAUUAUCCAACCAUAGGUUCCUUUUGGGAGGAAACAUGUGUUAUAAGUUAAUGUGUUCUGUUGUAACAAGUAGUACUAUGUAGUAUUUUGGCUAAUUCUGUUUUCCCUUUUAAAUUAUUAUGUGAUUUACUUAUUAAUCUCAACUUAUAGAUCUGAAUACGAAAUGUUCAAUCUAUUAGAUCUAGAACUUACAGUAAACACAACUAUUGCCCAUUUGCAAUCUUGCUGAACAUUCUGGGGAAGAGGGACAAAGGGUUAACAUGAUGAGGGUUUAUGUGCUUAUAAAUAAUAUAAAUGAUAAAUCAUAUAAAUAUAAAUCUAAGUAAGCACUAAUGACAUUGCACGAUUGCACCAAACAGAUGACAAGACACAGAAUGUAAUAUACCAUGUAUACAGGACACUUUCAUUUAUAAAAUUCAUUUUAAGUCAACAUGGUCAAGAUAAAAAUUAAAAACAAAUAUUUGUUAAUCAAAUU
rnacentral:lncRNA from 1 species